GGCCAUGAUAACCGUUGACUCAUUAAGGUCACGAACCUCCAAGAUGGCGAUAUUAAAAUACACCAUAAAGUCUCAUAGAGAUUCUCCAUCUUACUGUCUGACGGAGAAAAAACUGUCGGAGGUUCACGGCACCCUUCAGUUGGUGCUGAAGUAUGCCAUGAAAAGUUACUCGAACUACUCGAAUGAGCAGAUACUCCCAGGUCAAAGUUCGGAGUACCAUGUUUGGGCAGUCUUCUG
rnacentral:lncRNA from 1 species